CCUACGGGAGGCAGCAGUGAGGAAUAUUGGUCAAUGGGCGAGAGCCUGAACCAGCCAAGUCGCGUGAAGGAAGAAGGACCUAUGGUUUGUAAACUUCUUUUAUAUGGGAAUAAAGUGUGGAACGUGUUCCUUUUUGUAUGUACCAUAUGAAUAAGCAUCGGCUAACUCCGUGCCAGCAGCCGCGGUAAUACGGAGGAUGCGAGCGUUAUCCGGAUUUAUUGGGUUUAAAGGGUGCGAAGGUGGUUAAUUAAGUCAGCGGUGAAAGUUUGUGGCUCAACCAUAAAAUUGCCGUUGAAACUGGUGUGCUUGAGUAGAUUAGAGGGAGGCGGAAUGCGAGGUGUAGCGGUGAAAUGCAUAGAGAUCACGCAGAACUCCGAUUGCGAAGGCAGCUUACUAAACUAUAACUGACACUGAAGCACGAAAGCGUGGGGAUCAAACAGGAUUAGAUACCCGGGUAGUC
rnacentral:rRNA from 1 species